GUCCACGCCCUAAACGAUGUCAACUGGUUGUUGGGGAGUGAAAUCCCUUAGUAACGAAGCUAACGCGUGAAGUUGACCGCCUGGGGAGUACGGUCGCAAGAUUAAAACUCAAAGGAAUUGACGGGGACCCGCACAAGCGGUGGAUGAUGUGGAUUAAUUCGAUGCAACGCGAAAAACCUUACCUACCCUUGACAUGUCCAGAAUCCUGCAGAGAUGCGGGAGUGCCCGAAAGGGAAUUGGAACACAGGUGCUGCAUGGCUGUCGU
rnacentral:rRNA from 1 species